rnacentral:tRNA from 1 species
GGGACGUUAGCUCAGCAGCAGAGCGCCUGGCUGUGAACCAGGAGGCGCCGGGGCAGCACCGGCACGCCCUCCCA